UACGUAGGGGGCAAGCGUUGUCCGGAAUCAUUGGGCGUAAAGAGCGUGUAGGCGGCUCGGUAAGUCCGCUGUGAAAGUCCAGGGCUCAACCCUGGAAUGCCGGUGGAAACUGUCGAGCUAGAGUCCGGAAGAGGCGAGUGGAAUUCCUGGUGUAGCGGUGAAAUGCGCAGAUAUCAGGAGGAACACCAAUGGCGAAGGCAGCUCGCUGGGACGGUACUGACGCUGAGACGCGAAAGCGUGGGGAGCAAACAGGG
rnacentral:rRNA from 1 species